GGCUGGUCCAAAGGUAGUUGAGUUAUCUCACUUGAUUGUUCACCAUCAGAGAUUGAACUCCUUGUUCUACUCUUUCCUCCCUUCUUACUACUGCACUUGAUUAGUAUUAA
ensembl:misc_RNA Y_RNA Y RNA